UCAGGCCUAACACAUGCAAGUCGAGCGGAAACGAGCUAUCUGAACCUUCGGGGAACGAUAACGGCGUCGAGCGGCGGACGGGUGAGUAAUGCCUAGGAAAUUGCCCUGAUGUGGGGGACAACCAUUGGAAACGAUGGCUAAUACCGCAUGAUGCCUACGGGCCAAAGAGGGGGACCUUCGGGCCUCUCGCGUCAGGAUAUGCCUAGGUGGGAUUAGCUAGUUGGUGAGGUAAGGGCUCACCAAGGCGACGAUCCCUAGCUGGUCUGAGAGGAUGAUCAGCCACACUGGAACUGAGACACGGUCCAGACUCCUACGGGAGGCAGCAGUGGGGAAUAUUGCACAAUGGGCGCAAGCCUGAUGCAGCCAUGCCGCGUGUGUGAAGAGGGCCUUCGGGUUGUAAAGCACUUUCAGUCGUGAGGAAGGUAGUGUAGUUAAUAGCUGCAUUAUUUGACGUUAGCGACAGAAGAAGCACCGGCUAACUCCGUGCCAGCAGCCGCGGUAAUACGGAGGGUGCGAGCGUUAAUCGGAAUUACUGGGCGUAAAGCGCAUGCAGGUGGUUUGUUAAGUCAGAUGUGAAAGCCCGGGGCUCAACCUCGGAAUAGCAUUUGAAACUGGCAGACUAGAGUACUGUAGAGGGGGGUAGAAUUUCA
rnacentral:rRNA from 1 species